UACGUAGGGUGCAAGCGUUGUUCGGAAUUACUGGGCGUAAAGGGCGCGUAGGCGGCCUGCCAAGUCGGGAGUGAAAGCCCGGGGCUCAACCCCGGAAUGUCUUUCGAAACUGGCAAGCUAGAGUGCAGAAGGGGCAACUGGAAUUCCUAGUGUAGCGGUGAAAUGCGUAGAGAUGUGGAGGAACACCGAUGGCGAAGGCAGCCCCCUGGGUCAAAACUGACGCUCAUGCACGAAAGCGUGGGGAGCAAACAGG
rnacentral:rRNA from 1 species